GAUGAACGCUGGCGGCGUGCCUAAUACAUGCAAGUCGAGCGAACAGAUGAGGAGCUUGCUCCUCUGACGUUAGCGGCGGACGGGUGAGUAACACGUGGAUAACCUACCUAUAAGACUGGGAUAACUUCGGGAAACCGGAGCUAACACCGGAUAAUAUAUUGAACCGCAUGGUUCAAUAGUGAAAGACGGUUUUGCUGUCACUUAUAGAUGGAUCCGCGCCGCAUUAGCUAGUUGGUAAGGUAACGGCUUACCAAGGCAACGAUGCGUAGCCGACCUGAGAGGGUGAUCGGCCACACUGGAACUGAGACACGGUCCAGACUCCUACGGGAGGCAGCAGUAGGGAAUCUUCCGCAAUGGGCGAAAGCCUGACGGAGCAACGCCGCGUGAGUGAUGAAGGUCUUCGGAUCGUAAAACUCUGUUAUUAGGGAAGAACAAAUGUGUAAGUAACUAUGCACGUCUUGACGGUACAUAAUCAGAAAGCCACGGCUAACUACGUG
rnacentral:rRNA from 1 species